rnacentral:lncRNA from 1 species
AGGCAAUCGCUGGUGUCAAAUCCUAAAUUAAAAUAAUCUUGGGAAUGUAUUUUGCAAGAUAAUGCUGAUGAAAGUGAGAAUCUGAACUCCAACUAAAACAAAAAUCAUUAGCUUUGCUGCAGCGUUUACGAUAAAUAAGCACACUGCAUAUAAACUGCCCUGUUACACUUUUAGUCAAGUAAUGAACAGUUUGUUUCCAGGUUCAGUGCCAUGGUCUCUUUGCACUUGUUGAACAAUUUUUCUCCCAAGUCUUCGUCUUGUCAGUCUGCACAUUUCUGAUCUUGAAAGAGGUGAGCGGUGAGGCUGCGGCUUUGCAUACAGCCUCUGCUCUGCUGGGCAGUUCCAUCAUCCAUCAUCAAAUAUACUCCUGCCUAUUAAAAGGAAGAUCUGAUGUGAAUAGGUGAUGAGACCGGCUGUGUUACCCUUACAUGCCUUCCCAGCAUGGUGGGAGAAGAGCAGGACCCAGGCAGGAGCGUGUUGCUGUUGGGAGUUCCCACAGAUGCCAGUGCCAGCUUGGGAAGCUCAUAUGCCCCUGUCCCCAGCGCCACUCCGUAAGAUGCACCAGGACAGCUGUUCGCAGGGCGACUGGAGAAACCAAGAACAGAACCAGGAAGAAUCCCUCCUUUUUAAGUAAUGGAACUUCAGUAGACCUGCAGUGGCUGGCUGGUUUGACGACACUUACCCUGAAGUGGUACCAUAAGGGGCACUCAGCUGAAAGCAGAGAGGUAAUCAGAACAUCCCUAGAUGGAGAGGCUUCAGCUGCUUUAUGCCAUGGUCAAACUGUACUCUUUGGACUACUAGAAAGAAUGAUAUUCAGGUUACGAUGGAGCAAAUUCCUUUGGUGAGUGGAAAAAUGCUUUUUAAAUUUGCAUUCAUUAUUGCUCACGUGUCAGAACUCAGAGAGGUUUUGCUGGAUUUAAAGGUAGGGGAGACCUGCAUGCAGAUUUCUUCCCCAACUUUAAUGUACCUAUGAGCACAGUCAAGUUGACCUUUCCCUACGGCUUUGGUUUUGCUAACAGACAAAGCAACAGAAAUGCAGUAAUGCUUAUGUUGAAAUUUCAGCCGUGGCUGUGCUUGUUUUUCCUCCUAGGACUGCUCAGUUCCAUUCUGCUUAAAUCAGGGAUGUGUCCUCAGACAGUGGAAGUGAAAAAAUCUUUUCCAGCCACUGAAAGAAUAGACUAUCUGAGACGUCCUUAGCAGCCUGUCAAGGCUGCGUAUGGAAGAUAGGGAAAACAUUCAGCCUAUAUACAAAAACUAAUGUAUGGAACAUUUAACAAGACAGAAAGUCUAGAUAUAAUGUAUGCAGGGAGCUGCAAAGGUCAAACACUGAAUAGAUGCAUAAAGACGGCUUCUGAAAGAGAGAGAAGAUAAAAAUUUACACGUCCUGUAAAUAAUCCUGAAAUAAUUCAAAGCCAAUCUGAAAUGCAAGAACAACCUGGAAGGCAGAUAAGGGCCUUACAUACUGAAAUAUGUAAUGAAUCACAGUUCUCUAAAUGACCAGACAGAGCUGGUAUGGUGACCAGUGAGCUCCCCGUUCAGUGUGUGAUGGAUAUGAACAUGUUUACCUCGCUGUUGUUAGAGCUGGAAGGUUAGCAGUGUGUCUGGGCUUCCCAGGAGGCUUGGCAGAACCGAUGAGAUGGUUAGACUACUUCAGUGGGUGAUUGAGAGUACCUCUAGCCAUUGUUUUAAGAUACUGAAUACAAUUUUCAAAUUUUCAAAAUACUACGUAAGCAAGGGUUAAUAUUUUAAAAAAUUGUUAUAUUCUGUUUGCAAGUUGGUAAUUCAAAAGGUAAUGUAAAGGUGCACAGAUACAGAAAAGUUCCCAGCUGCUAUUAAAAUGUUGCUGGAUGUCUAUUGACUUUAAUUGGUAAUGUAAGCAUUUUUUAAUGCUGUUGUUACUGUAUGCAUCCAGCAUUUCUGUUUUAACUUUGUGAUUCAGUUACCAUUAACAUUUAAUCACUCAAUAGAUGUGUUAACAACCAAGCCCUAAAAAAACCACCCUGCUUAGUGUUGGAAGCUGCUAAUUCUAUUCAGCUGAUACUAGUUUCAGUACCAGUCAGAGAUGCUCAACUCUUAACACUCAUUAUUUCCCAUGCCUAAGAAUCCAGAAACCUUAUUAGUGUUGAGUUUCAAAAAAGUGUGCCUGAUUUUGACAGCUGUCCCAUGGCAUUUCAGAGAUGUAGGGAAUUACCGGUCACUGAUGCAAAUCAGCCCUUUUCCUGGGAGAGGGAUCAGAAGCUUUGGGUGAAGUGCAUCCCUUGUGAGAUGAGCUUUCUAAAACCUCCCCCUGUGCACUACCACGUUUUGGAAAAGUAGGACUAUGUGCUGUACUUGUAAAGAUUGCUAACUGUGUUCUUUCUUGUACAAAAGACUUUAUAUUUGAUACUCUUCAGUCAUUUUUCUGGUUGAAAAUCAGAAGCUUUCUGGUCACAGCAUAUUUAUUUUACAUUAUCAGAGUUUACCCUUGCAAGAGGCUUGGACAAUGUUAUUUUUAGAGGCUGAAGCGUCUGUGUUGUUUGCCACAACCCUUGGACUUUGGCAGGGAAGAAAAUCUCCAGAACCAGAGAAAAGCAUGUAUUAUUAUUAUUUUGUGAAAUUCUGUUCAGUUCUGGCUGAGAUCUAAACUUUGUAAUUUCCCUUUUAGCACUUGAUUUCUUAGCAAAAUGCUGGCAGUUUGUCAAAGCAUAAACAGCGUAACCUGGUGCAGCGUGCUGCCAGGAGUUACGGCAUCUCGUACUGGCAGGGACAUGAUCUCUGCAGGGAAGAGGGAGCAAGAGUCUUGGUUAGACUGGAUUUCUCAGGGAAGUAGUCUUACCUGCUCCGAUGAUCAGACCAACAAAUAACAUCAAUGCCCCGCUUCCAGUUAGGACAAAAAUCUCUUCUCUUAGGCAUGUAGUUACUUAUGUUGUGAGGUGAUGAUAGGUCAUGGGGAACUGUUUUCCUGUGUUCUCACUUGAAGAGAGAGGAAAAAAAAAAAAAGAAAACGGGGGAAAAAAAAAAAAAAAAAAAAAAACAACCAACCAACCAACAACCAAAAAAAAAAUCCUCUCUUUUUAUGUCAGUUUUCUUGUGUUAAAAGCUGCUUCAGUUGUGGAGUCAAGCACUCAAGUUAGGAAAAGCCAGAAUGAUGGUCAUCAGUGUAACCUCUUAAUGCAACCUCUUCCUGCAUAUUCAUUAGGAUGUUAUACUUAAUUACAGCACUUGAGUCUCUUUCCAGAUCUUUCUUAUAUUAGUAGAUAGAUAUAAGUAUGUAUUUGUGUGUGUUAGUAGGGUUUCCAGUUCCUUUGUAGAAACCUGAAGGCACACGUAGAAGAGAACAGCAGAAGAGGAUUGCUGGAAGAGAACAUCCUGUGGUUAAGGCAGGUGAAUGAGAGGAAUUCUCUUUUAUCCCAGUUCAUCUGCUUUUAUCCCUGUUUUGUGCAUGCUGCUGAGCAAGCCACUCCAACCAAAAUACCUUUCUGUGGCUACUGUCUGUGUUUCUCUCAUCUUCUGGACCCCUCAGGCCUAAUGUGCAAAAGUGAUGAGAACUCACAGGUGCAAAUGAAAUCAAUAGGAAGCAUGGUCAUUCAGCGUUUCGGGAAUUAAGGCAGAGCAGAUUGGAUAUCUGGACAUGGGGAGAAGGACAGUAAUUUCUGGGAGUCAGCCUUUCCUCUCCAAAGCCUUUCCAUCUGCAGCGUGGCCUCUGGCGUGCUGCUUUGUCUCGGUGUCUCUGUCAUGGAGAUGGUACAUCUUGCAGUAAAUGUAAGUUGCCUAAUGUCUGUGAGGCACUCCUGCUGAAAAGCACCCCAAAUAACACUGUGUGGAGUCUCUGCCUUGUAUGUGUAUAGCAGGUUUGGGAUAGUGUUGAGGAUAGAGUAUUGGUGCACAUGUACAAAACUAUGCCGCCCAUGUGCAUACACACAACACACAAGACAUCCCUAGAUGACUACACAUGUAUACAUUUAAAAAUCUAUACGUGUAUUUAAAGGUAUGUUUACAUACAUGUUAGGACAGCUUGGAAUAGCAACUACUUGGAUUGCCUUUACAAGCCCCCAAAACAGGGUGUAACUAAUUCUCUUUACUAGACAUUUUCUUUAGCAGAGUUGAUGGCUCCCAGUCAUCAACUGAAUACAGUGCUUACUGUUUUCAUUUUUAUGUAAUUAUCAGUGUAUUUUUAAAUUUGCUAGCCAACUAGGAAUUGGAUAAUAUUUUUAUCCAAUAAUAUAUAUAUAUUUUCCUGAAUAGAUAUUAUUCCUAAUUCAAGGGUUAAGGCAGAGAAUGUAUGCUGUGGUCGAGGUAGAUGCAUUGUCCCUUGUCCAUCUCUGUGUGAAGCUAUCAAACUAAGUAGUGGUGCCACUCCUUGGAUUACAGCUGGGAGUAUUUUCAAAUGGUUUUAAUUAACUUCAGGAAGGCAGGAUGGGACUCAGAUGGUAUUAAAGAAAAAUAAAUAGUUUUAGGAAUGCA